rnacentral:tRNA from 1 species
ACUCUUAUAGCUUAUAGAGAGCAUAGUAUUGAAGAUACUAAGGAAAUGAAUUGUGUUUUUGGGUA